AGAGUUUGAUUAUGGCUCAGAAUGAACGCUGGCGGCGUGCCUAACACAUGCAAGUCGCACGAGAACGGUUCCUUCGGGAGCCUAGUAAAGUGGCGGACGGGUGAGUAACGCGUGGGUAAUCUGCCCUCGAGUGGGGAAUAACCUGGGGAAACCCGGGCUAAUACCGCAUAACAUCCCCGGGGCUUCGGUCCUGAGGAUCAAAGGUGGCGCGGUUCGACCGCUACCGCUUGAGGAGGAGCCCGCGUCCCAUUAGCCAGUUGGUGGGGUAAUGGCCUACCAAGGCUUCGAUGGGUAGCCGGCCUGAGAGGGUGAUCGGCCACACUGGAACUGAGACACGGUCCAGACUCCUACGGGAGGCAGCAGUGGGGAAUUUUGGGCGAUGGGCGAAAGCCUGACCCAGCGACGCCGCGUGGGUGAUGAAGGCCUUCGGGUCGUAAAACCCUGUCAUGCGGGAAGAAUGGCAUGGACUCUAAUAUAGUCUGUGUUUGACGGUACCGCAGGAGGAAGCCCCGGCCAACUCCGUGCCAGCAGCCGCGGUAACACGGAGGGGGCGAGCGUUAUUCGGAAUUAUUGGGCGUAAAGGGCAGGUAGGCGGCCUUGUAUGUCCUAUGUGAAAUCCCUCGGCUCAACCGAGGAACUGCAUGGGAAACUGCAGGGCUUGAGUCCGGGAGAGGGGAGUGGAAUUCCCAGUGUAGCGGUGAAAUGCGUAGAUAUUGGGAGGAACACCAGUGGCGAAGCGGCUCCCUGGACCGGUACUGACGCUGAGCUGCGAAAGCCAGGGGAGCGAACGGGAUUAGAUACCCCGGCAGUCCUGGCUGUAAACGAUGAGCACUUGGUGCGGUGGGUAUCGACCCCUGCCGUGCCGGAGCUAACGCAUUAAGUGCUCCGCCUGGGGAGUACGGUCGCAAGG
rnacentral:rRNA from 1 species